rnacentral:rRNA from 1 species
UACGGAGGGUGCGAGCGUUGUCCGGAAUCACUGGGCGUAAAGGGCGCGUAGGUGGCGCGGGCAGUCAACGGUGAAAGUUCGGGGCUCAACCCUGAAUCGGCCGUCGAUACUCCCGGGCUUGAGCACUGUAGAGGCGGAUGGAAUUCCGGGUGUAGCGGUGGAAUGCGUAGAGAUCCGGAAGAACACCGGUGGCGAAGGCGGUCUGCUGGGCAGUAGCUGACACUGAGGCGCGACAGCGUGGGGAGCAAACAGG